GAUGAACGCUGGCGGCGUGCCUAACACAUGCAAGUCGAACGAGGUAGCAAUACCUAGUGGCAGACGGGUGAGUAACGCGUGGUCAACCUUCCCUACAGUGGGGGAUAACUAGCCGAAAGGUUAGCUAAUACCGCAUGACAUCUUCGAGAGGCAUCUUUUGAAGAUAAAAGGAGCAAUCCGCUGAAGGACGGGACCGCGUCCCAUUAGCUAGUUGGUGGGGUAAUGGCCUACCAAGGCAACGAUGGGUAGCUGGUUUGAGAGAGCGACCAGCCACACU
rnacentral:rRNA from 1 species